UCCACGCCCUAAACGAUGAACACUAGUCGUCGGGAUGCUAGUCAUCUCGGUGAUGCACUUAACAGAUUAAGUGUUCCGCCUGGGGAGUACGGUCGCAAGAUUAAAACUCAAAGGAAUAGACGGGGACCCGCACAAGUGGUGGAGCAUGUGGUUUAAUUCGAAGAUACGCGAAGAACCUUACCUAGCCUUGACAUUGAAGAAACACACUAGAGAUAGAGUGGUGCCCUUCGGGG
rnacentral:rRNA from 1 species